GAACAGAGAGCAGUGUGUAAAAGACAUCAAUAUCAGAAACAGCCACAUAACUGCUCCACAAAGCAUAAAAUGAGUGUAACUUAUAAAAUCAGGAAAAAUACCUAAAUUCCUCGUAGUCAUGGAGCAGAGGACAGCCAGAUUUGAGUGUUCCAUAUCCAUAUGAUGUCCCAGAACUGUCCCCUCUGCGCACCAUUUUCUGUGGUGAUGAGGACCUUCCUGUGCUGGAGGAAGUCUCCGAGAUCUGCAUCGUGGGAGCUGGGCCAGUGUAGGAGCACAGCAAGGCUGUGAGGGAGCUUGCUGUGAGCCAGCUCUGCCCUAGAGCACGGCUCACUACUAAAAUCCCAAACCCCAUCCUGGGAGGAGCAGAUGGAAGUCAGAUGUGGAGCCCUCUGUCUCCUCAGGGCUGACUAGACAUGAGGACAGGGUGGGCUCUCUGUGAACUGUCCUUGUGGCAUGAUGCACACAUGGAGACACACUGAGGAGCAGGCACCUGUACAAAUAUGAAGUGAAAAACUGCCACUCCAGUGUCGCUCUCUUAUGCUAACCUACCUCCCUCUCUGUCUGUCAUAGCGCGGACAGGACCUAACAUGCAGGAAAAACCUCCUGCUCUCCCCAGGCACACAGUGCUCUGGCAGAAGGGUCACCAUCUGUCUUGGUCUCAUUCUCCAGGACAGGAGGCACAGAGAAAAACCUGUCUGUGGCAGUGGGGCUUCUCAUCCUUGAUGUCCUCCAACCACAGGCAUCACGUGAGGUUUGGUGUCUGACAGCCUGGUCCUGCGUGGUCAGGAUCCCCUAUGGGAGCAGAUGUGGAAGUCACACUGGAGGGGCCAGGUGCUGCCCAUCACAGACUUGGUCCCUCUGUGCUCUGAAAUCUGAGUCCUUCCCUCAGGGUCAGGACUUGGGGAGGGAAUGCAAAUCUCUUCCAGCUCCUCCCCUCUUGGGUUGAAAAACCCAGCAGGGCCUGGGUCAGGACACCAGUGUCACCAUGGACAGGAUUUGUUCCCUUCUUCUGCUGCUGACCGUCCCUGCCUGGGUCAUGUCCCAGGUCACCCUGAAGAAGUCUGGCCCUGGAUUGGUGACCCCCACCCAGACCCUCAGGCUGACCUGCUCCUUCUCUGGCUUCUCAUUGAGCACAUAUGGUGUAUGUGUAG
rnacentral:lncRNA from 1 species